rnacentral:rRNA from 1 species
CCUACGGGAGACAGCAGUGGGGAAUCUUGGGCAAUGGAGGCAACUCUGACCCAGCAACGCCGCGUGAAUGAUGAAGGUUUUCGGAUUGUAAAGUUCUGUGAUGGGGGAUGAACACAAUGACGGUACCCCAAUAGCAAGCCACGGCUAACUACGUGCCAGCAGCCGCGGCAAUACGUAGGUGGCAAGCGUUGUCCGGAAUGACUGGGCGUAAAGGGUGCGUAGGUGGUUUAGUAAGUUGGCGGUGUAAUUCCGGGGCUCAACCUCGGCGCUACCGCCGAAACUAUUAGACUAGAGUGCAGGAGGGGUAAGUGGAAUUCCUAGUGUAGCGGUGAAAUGCGUAGAUAUUAGGAGGAACACCAGUGGCGAAGGCGGCCUGCUGGACUGUAACUGACGUUGAGGCUCGAAAGCGUGGGGAGCAAACAGGAUUAGAUACCCUGGUAGUC